AGAGGAAACUCUGGUGGAGGCUCGUAGCGGUGCUGACGUGCAAAUCGCUCGUCUAACUUGGGUAUAGGGGCGAAAGACUCAUCGAACCAUCUAGUAGCUGGUUUCCUCCGAAGUUUCUCUCAGGAUAGCAGGCCGAUAUGUCUAAGUCUCAGUUGUUGUGUGCGGUAAAGCGAAUGAUUAGCGUAUUUGGGGGCUUUUAGUCUUCAGACGAUUCUCAAACUUUAAAUGCGCACGGGGUGUUGCCGCUUGAUUGGGCUUCACCGUUUAAAAAAUAUCGGCUUUGUGGGCUUGUUUUGGUAAGCAGAACUGGCGAUUCGGGAUGAACCGUAAGUGUGGUUAAGGCGCCAAAUUAUCCGCUUAGAGAUUCCAAAAAAGGCGUUGAUUCAUCGAGACAGCAGGACGGUGGCCAUGGAAGUCGGAAUCCGCUAAGGAGUGUGUAACAACUCACCUGCCGAAUGAAUUAGCCCUGAAAAUGGAUGGCGCUUAAGCGGGUAGCCGACACCACGCCGUUUGGGCAAGUAAUUGUUCCCAAAUGAGUAGGAGGACGUGGCGGUCGUAUCGAAGCGUCCGUGCGAACGGGCGUGGAACGGCCGCUAGUGCAGAUCUUGGUGUUAGUAGCAAAUAUUCAAUUGAGAACCUUGAAGGGCGAAGCGGGGAAGGGUUCCACGCGAACAUUGAUUGGGCGUGGGUGAGUCGUUCCUAAACCACGUGGCAAUAGCUAAGUAUUGGUGAAAGGGAAGCAGGUUGACAUUCCUGCACACGAAUGUAGACGCGGUGACGCACUUCUGGGGGUGAUGAAGCUGGCGNUGGCACUGGGCAGAGUUGUCUUUUCUGUUUAACCGAGUCUGACAUGCUGUGUGGAAUCCGCUUGUCGGGAGAUGCACGCAUGCUUGGGCAUAGCGCCGGGGUGUUUUCCGGCGUCCAGCUCGCCAUCGUCGGACCUUGAAAAAUUACCUGCUGGCACUUGGUCGGUUUUAGACCUUGUGUGGAAGAACUCUACGUCGUAACGUACCCAUAACCGCAGCAGU
rnacentral:rRNA from 1 species